rnacentral:rRNA from 1 species
CAGUAGCCGCGGUAAUACGUAGGGUGCGAGCGUUAAUCGGAAUUACUGGGCGUAAAGCGUGCGCAGGCGGUUUUGUAAGACAGGCGUGAAAUCCCCGGGCUCAACCUGGGAAUGGCGCUUGUGACUGCAAAGCUAGAGUGCGGCAGAGGGGGAUGGAAUUCCGCGUGUAGCAGUGAAAUGCGUAGAUAUGCGGAGGAACACCGAUGGCGAAGGCAAUCCCCUGGGCCUGCACUAACGCUCAUGCACGAAAGCGUGGGGAGCAAACAGGAUUAGAUACCCGGGUAGUCCCUGUCUCUUAUAC